UCUCUGUCAGACACAAAAGAGAGAUUUAUUUCAGUUUGGCAGGUGAUGUCGUCUUAUGAUCAUCAUUUCAUAUGCAUUCCUGCACAUUUCAAACCAAACCAGGCUUUGUUUAAUUUUCUGCUAAAAAUCUUCUCUCCUUUUUCUAUUUCUUGAGCAAAACUCCUUUCCGUAUAUAGAUUUUUUUCUUUAUUGAGAUUUCAUUGCUUGCAACUCCAGUUCCAAAUGAUUAUUUCAGAGUUCGCAACGAGAGGAUCGCGGAGAUGAAGGAAUUAUUCAGGCAAGGAAGGAAGAAACAAACCUUGAGAAGCCCAGGGAUUUGCAGCAGCUGUGCCUCCACUCUCACUCCUAAAAGAUGACGAGUCCAGCGGUGCCGAGUGAUAAUGUUGCCAGGCUUACCCAGCUAGGUGCUCCUCCAGCAUUGUUGUUGUUGUUAUUGGCGGCGCCAGGACCGUCCCAACCGAUAUGUGCUACAUGUUUUACAUCCGUUGGGAACCCGAUUUGCAUUUCAGGCUCCUUACCAUCUGGUUGCGACAAUUCAGUAUGAAAAGGAAUGAUGAUGAUGUCAAUGCCGGUGUCCUCCCUGGUAUGAACAAUCAGUUUUAAGCUAUUGCAUACCCAUCAUGUUUGAGAUGUAGCGGAACGGCUUCAGGAUCCCCUUCUUCA